rnacentral:lncRNA from 1 species
UAGAUAAACUACCCCGAACACGAUCGGCAGCUUCGACGCUGGAUGUGCAAGUUUCAUUAGGCUUCUCUGCAGAGGAUGAACCAAAUUUCGGAGGCGUCUGCUUGCCAUGCAUGGAUUGCACACACGAGAGUCCGAGAUGUUCGAAUAAUAACGCACGAGGCUUUUACGUAACCUGCCCGUUCAAGUUUCGUUCCAUUCCAUCAACACAGGGAAUCGAAAAAUCAAUCAAAUCAAGCCGGCAUCGCUCCAUGCGUGAUUGACCUCUCCAUUUUUCCAUGGAGACUCUUUCGACGAUGGACGACUCGAGAAAUUCCUGAACCCUCACGAUCGUCGGCUAGACUCUGUGAGACUGUGGCCAUGGAAAAUGACCAGGAGAGAAGGAGGCACGGACAGGGGUCAGCAGCUGAUCAAUAUCG